rnacentral:rRNA from 1 species
GAUGAACGCUGGCGGCGUGCCUAAUACAUGCAAGUCGAGCGAACAGACGAGGAGCUUGCUCCUCUGACGUUAGCGGCGGACGGGUGAGUAACACGUGGAUAACCUACCUAUAAGACUGGGAUAACUUCGGGAAACCGGAGCUAAUACCGGAUAAUAUAUUGAACCGCAUGGUUCAAUAGUGAAAGACGGUUUUGCUGUCACUUAUAGAUGGAUCCGCGCCGCAUUAGCUAGUUGGUAAGGUAACGGCUUACCAAGGCAACGAUGCGUAGCCGACCUGAGAGGGGGAUCGGCCACACGGGAACUGAGACACGGUCCAGACUCCUACGGGAGGCAGCAGUAGGGAAUCUUCCGCAAUGGGCGAAAGCUUGACGGAGCAACGCCGCGUGAGUGAUGAAGGUCUUCGGAUCGUAAAACUCUGUUAUUAGGGAAGAACAAAUGUGUAAGUAACUAUGCACGUCUUGACGGUACCUAAUCAGAAAGCCACGGCUAACUACGUG